AUUGAACGCUGGCGGCAGGCCUAACACAUGCAAGUCGAGCGGAGCGGCGGACGGGUGAGUAAUGCCUAGGAAUCUGCCUGGUCGUGGGGGAUAACGUCCGGAAACGGGCGCUAAUACCGCAUACUAUACGCCGAGCCUAGGCGGGAGUAGCUAGUUGGUGGGGUAAAGGCCUACCAAGGCGACGAUCCGUAACUGGUCUGAGAGGAUGAUCAGUCACACUGGAACUGAGACACGGUCCAGACUCCUACGGGAGGCAGCAGUGGGGAAUAUUGGACAAUGGGCGAAAGCCUGAUCCAGCCAUGCCGCGUGUGUGAAGAAGGUCUUCGGAUUGUAAAGCACUUUAAGUUGGGAGGCGUUACCAACAGAAUAAGCACCGGCUAACUUCGUGCCAGCAGCCGCGGUAAUAC
rnacentral:rRNA from 1 species